AUCUUUUUGUAGUUCAUAAGGGUGAUGAUUGGGUUUUCACGCUCAUGUGUGAGAUGUGCCUCCCUCCAGCCUUGUUAGGACAUUGGCUCAUUACCCAUCUGAUG
ensembl:snoRNA